rnacentral:tRNA from 1 species
GCCACCUUAGCUCAGCUGGUUAGAGCACCUUUUUUGUAAAAAGGGGGUCCUGAGUUCGAAUCUCAGAGGUGGCU